UCUUAUUGAUUUAUGAAGGUUCCAGAUGAUGAAAAGUGUCAAAAGAAUGGAGCAUCUGCCAACCAGGAUGAAGGAGACAAGACACACACUAGGCAUUGGUCCCAAGACCUUUAGAGUUUUGCGUUUCAUCAUAUACAUUUCCCUACAGUUGUUCCUGAUGACUUUAUGCCUCAGUGGAAAUGCCAUUGUGGUCCCGAGGAAUGGACUUGAAGAUCUUCCUUCCUUUAGCAUAUGA
rnacentral:lncRNA from 1 species